UUUACCCGCUUGAACUUAAGCAUAUCAAUAAGCGGAGGAAAAGAAACUAACAAGGAUUCCCCUAGUAACUGCGAGUGAAGCGGGAAAAGCUCAAAUUUAAAAUCUGGUGGUCUUUGGCCAUCCGAGUUGUAAUUUAGAGAAGCGUCUUCCGCGCUGGACCGUGCACAAGUCUCCUGGAAUGGAGCGUCAUAGAGGGUGAGAAUCCCGUCUUUGGCAUGGACACACCAGGGCUUUUGUGAUGCGCUCUCGAAGAGUCGAGUUGUUUGGGAAUGCAGCUCAAAAUGGGUGGUGAACUCCAUCUAAAGCUAAAUAUUGGCGAGAGACCGAUAGCGAACAAGUACCGUGAGGGAAAGAUGAAAAGCACUUUGGAAAGAGAGUGAAACAGUACGUGAAAUUGUUGAAAGGGAAACGCUUGAAGUCAGUCACGUCGACCGAGACUCAGCCUUGCCUCGGCUUGGUGUACUUCUCGGCUGACGGGUCAGCAUCAAUUUUGCCCCUUGGAUAAUGGCGAGGGAAAUGUGACACCUUUAUGGUGUGUUAUAGUCUCUCGUCGCAUGCAAGGGUUGGGAUUGAGGAACUCAGCACGCGCCUUUUGGUGUCGGGGCUUUGCCCACGAUACGUGCUUAGGAUGUUGGCAUAAUGGCUUUAAACGACCCGUCUUGAAACACGGACCAAGGAGUCUAACAUGCCUGCGAGUGUUCGGGUGGAAAACCCGUGCGCGCAAUGAAAGUGAAAGUUGGGACCUCUGUCGUGGAGGGCACCGACGCCCGGACCAGACCUUCUGUGACGGCUCUGCGGUAAAGCAUGUAUGUUAGGAGGGGAAAGAUGGUGAACUAUGCCUGAAUAGGGUGAAGCCAGAGGAAACUCUGGUGGAGGCUCGUAGCGAUUCUGACGUGCAAAUCGAUCGUCAAAUUUGGGUAUAGGGCGAA
rnacentral:rRNA from 1 species